UACGGAGGAUCCAAGCGUUAUCCGGAAUCAUUGGUUAAAGGGUCCGUAGGCGGUUUGGUAAGUCAGUGGUGAAAGCCCAUCGCUCACGGUGGAACGGCCAUUGAUACUGCCAGACUUGAAUUAUUAGGAAGUAACUAGAAUAUGUAGUGUAGCGGUGAAAUGCUUAGAGAUUACAUGGAAUACCAAUUGCGAAGGCAGGUUACUACUAAUGGAUUGACGCUGAUGGACGAAAGCGUGGGUAGCGAACAGG
rnacentral:rRNA from 1 species